GCCGAGACUAGAGUCACAUCCUGACAUGGUGCUUGUCUUGGUGUGCUAGAGUUCUCGAAGAGUAACUGCUGUCUUGAUUCACUGGUAGGUGUCCUUCAGUGUCCUUAUUAGUGCCCAGAUCAGACACAUGU